rnacentral:rRNA from 1 species
CCAGACUCCUAGGGAGGCAGCAGUGGGGAAUCUUCCGCAAUGGACGAAAGUCUGACGGAGCAACGCCGCGUGAGUGAUGACGGCCUUCGGGUUGUAAAGCUCUGUUAAUCGGGACGAAAGGCCUUCUUGCGAAUAGUGAGAAGGAUUGACGGUACCGGAAUAGAAAGCCACGGCUAACUACGUGCCAGCAGCCGCGGUAAUACGUAGGUGGCAAGCGUUGUCCGGAAUUAUUGGGCGUAAAGCGCGCGCAGGCGGAUAGGUCAGUCUGUCUUAAAAGUUCGGGGCUUAACCCCGUGAUGGGAUGGAAACUGCCAAUCUAGAGUAUCGGAGAGGAAAGUGGAAUUCCUAGUGUAGCGGUGAAAUGCGUAGAUAUUAGGAAGAACACCAGUGGCGAAGGCGACUUUCUGGACGAAAACUGACGCUGAGGCGCGAAAGCCAGGGGAGCGAACGGGAUUAGAUACCCCGGUAGUCCUGGCCGUAAACGAUGGGUACUAGGUGUAGGAGGUAUCGACCCCUUCUGUGCCGGAGUUAACGCAAUAAGUACCCCGCCUGGGGAGUACGACCGCAAGGUUGAAACUCAAAGGAAUUGACGGGGGCCCGCACAAG